rnacentral:lncRNA from 1 species
GACUCUUAGUUGCUAGGUUGGUACUCUUUCCGGAAGUGGUUGUUGGCCGCUGCAGAGCAACACCCCGGCGUCCCUGGAAGCGGGGAGCCGGGGUGGUACUGGGGAAGCUGCACGGACCCGGGAGCGGUCGUCCAGUGCCUCCCGGGGCGGGGGGGCAGGACGUAGGUGUUCGAGCCCAUACCAACCAUGGCCGGGAGACCCAUCCGCAUAGGAGACCAGCUGGUUCUGGAGGAGGAUUAUGAUGAGACCUACAUCCCCAGUGAGCAAGAAAUUCUUGAAUUUGCCAGAGAGAUUGGUAUUGAUCCCGUCAAGGAGCCGGAACUGAUGUGGCUGGCGCGAGAGGGCAUUGUGGCCCCACUGCCCGUGGAGUGGAAGCCCUGCCAGGACAUCACAGGUGAUAUUUACUAUUUCAACUUUGCCAAUGGGCAGUCCACGUGGGACCAUCCAUGUGACGAGCACUAUCGGAACUUGGUGAUCCAAGAGCGGAGGAAGCUGUCAACUCCAGGAGCCGUUAACAAGAAAGACAAGAAAAAGAAGAAGGAAAAGAAAGACAAGAAGGACAAAGAGACCUCCAAAAGUCUGCUGGUGAGUCCGUGGAUGCCAGCCCCCAGAGAGCCGGGGCUGAAACCUCAGGGGAUAUUGGGAACCCCUAGGUGUUUACAGCUGGGAAGUUCAGAACAACACCAAUAACACAUUGAUUGCUUGAUAGUACAUCAUCUCAGUUAUGCCUGUCUUCUGGCAGAUUUUCCUUUAGCUUCUGGAAGUUCUUAUCGUCUCUGGAAAAUUCUUUUCUCCUCCCCGCUCCCCCCGGGAAGCACAUAUUAUGUAGGAGGAUUAUCGAGAAAGCGCGCUUCCCUGAGGAUGUUGCUUUGCAGCAGUCUGAGAAGGGAUACCGUCUACCCCUCUGGAGAGUGGGGGACAGGGGGGCAAUUGACAGAGAACCUAGAUGAGUGGAGUGUCUUUCUUCUUUCAGAGCCGGGCCUUCCAAGUGUGGUGCAAAUUCAUAGAUGUCAGGUGUAGCCAUAAUUCAGUUGUCAGAAAGCCAGUGCCUUCAAAGUCCAAAAAGAAAAGCUUUGGGCUUUAUCCACUUUUGUGGAUUGUUCUUUUUUGCCAUUGUCCUUUGGUAGGGGUGCGUAACUGAAAUCUGAUUGCAGCGUGAGCAUCUUGGUCUCGGGUAGCUUUUUCACUCUGAGUUGAAAGUGCUCUUUCCCCUUAUUUUUAUUUGUCCUUCCAGUAUGUCUGAACUUAAGAAGCAGAGUUAUUGCCCUGGGUUUAUAGGUAGAGAAGCUAAGACUUGGAGCCAUGCUGAUGUGAGGGCCAGGCUCUCCCAGAGCGCUCUGCCGGUGCAGGGGAUCCUUCACCAAGGUGGGGCGCAGGUGG